UACGAAGGGGGCUAGCGUUGCUCGGAAUCACUGGGCGUAAAGGGUGCGUAGGCGGGUCUUUAAGUCAGGGGUGAAAUCCUGGAGCUCAACUCCAGAACUGCCUUUGAUACUGAGGAUCUUGAGUUCGGGAGAGGUGAGUGGAACUGCGAGUGUAGAGGUGAAAAUUCGUAGAUAUUCGGAAGAACACCAGUGGCGAAGGCGGCUCACUGGUCCGGUACUGACGCUGAUGUGCGAAAGCGUGGGGAGCAAACAGG
rnacentral:rRNA from 1 species